rnacentral:lncRNA from 1 species
GAGAAAAGAAAUUAAAAGAUUGUGAUUCCUGUGUCACUGUUUCUAGAGUCGAUGUACCAUUGCCUGUUGUGCAUUUUGAAGAAUUGGUUAAUAGGACUAAAAGCAAAUCAUUGUACACUUUUUCUAGCUACAAAAACUGUUGCAGAACAAGUUAUGUGUGUACUACUAUGAAGCUGUAGUUUACAGCAAUGGAGCAUAUAUACCGGUUAAGGAAAGGGAAAACACUCACCAUCUCAGUCUAUUUGUGCUUUAUAAAUUAACUUUUCCAUUAUGAGAAAUGGAGGCCUUGUCACUAUUUUCAUGUAUGUUUACUAGAGGGACAGAGCAGUUUUCUGAAAAGUGGUAUCGUUUGCCGGAUACAUUUGGUAGCUCAUACUAUAAGGAUACUUUGUCCUAGUGGGUGUGGAAGUGAAAUUAGUUUUGAGGGUUCUAUAUGCUUUAUUUAUUGUAACAACUCAAGAUCUUUGAAUA